CGCAGUGGGGGCUGAGGAAGCUCGCAAGCCUUCAUCAGUAUGUAAUACGAUCGAUGCGUGAGUGCCAGCGGCGCAGUCGGGGCUAGCACUGCUAAGUUACUGCCUAUCACAUUUGCCUGUUAAUAAACCACAGGUUAUAUCCAAACAGCUGGAUCAGUGCUGACACGAUGCCUUAGCGAUGCCACUGCCAUGCCAGGAACAUUACACGUCUUGAAGAAAAAAUAAUUUAAAACGGAAGAGCAAAAAAAAUCAGGCCUUAAUCUUUCUAAUUCGAUCAAUACAUGUAUACAAUACUGCUUAUUUCAUAAUCAGACGAGUAAAAGGGAAAGACUUUCGGAAUGAAAGCACUAAAAUCUUCGUGUCUUCAAUGCUAGAUAAUUAGAGAAUGACUGACUGCACGUCAUUCAUCCUCGCUUGUCGUUUUCCAUGAAUAAUAAUUGUGGAAACAACAUGCAAUAAAUCUUAUAUAAAUAAACACGCAUAUCUGCGCCACCAAA